rnacentral:lncRNA from 1 species
CUCUCGUGAGAGCUCGGAUGAAAUUCGAAAUGCAGUCGACCACCAUAGAAACUUGGAUGGAGUCUGGUUACUGUAGAAGUCCUGCUAUUGGAGAAGCUCGGACAUUGACAAAGUUUGAAAGAAGUUCGGAGUAAAGUCGUUCGCGAUCGGAAGAAGUCUAGAAGAAAUUUGAAGAAUAGUCGAUCACUGUAGAAAAUCGACUGAUAGUGAAGCUCAGAAAGCAUUUGGAGCAGCCCGA